ensembl:lncRNA
CAAUUUUAUUUAACUUUUCAAAAAUCCACCUUUUUGUUUCAUUUAUUUUUUUGUAUUUUUGUUGUUGUUUGUUUAGUUGGUUGUUUCAAUUUCAUUUAGUUCUCUUCCGAUCUUCUAUUCUUGUUAGCAUUUCAUCAAACGUUUUUUCAAAGUUCUUGGUUUCUUUACAUUGGGUUAGAACAAGUUCUUUUAACUCCCAGAAGUUUCUUAUCAUCCACCUCCUGAAGCCUACUUCUGUUAAUGGCACGCAGUUCUUUUCCAUCAGGGUUUGUUCUGUCCCUGUAGAGGGAGAGGGGUUCUGAUUUUGGGUAUUCUCAGCCUUUUUAGGUUGGUUUCUUUCCUUUGUUAUAAAUUUAUCCAUCUGUCGUCUUUACGAUUACCGCCUUUCUAGUUGGGUUUCUGAGUGGACGUCCAGUUUAUUGAUUCCCAGUGCUGGAAUCCAAGCAACCCACUGCACCGGCCAAAACAGCAGCAUUAAGACUGAUGGUGCUCUUCUGCCUGGGAAUUUCCUUCCCGUUUACUCUGCAUGAAGAGCUGCCAUGCUAAGGCGCUGACAAAACCACUGCACCAGCCACAAGAGUCGUGCUGGCGACCUGUGGGGCUCCUCCACUGGGAAUCUUCUGGUCCAUGAGUGACGAAAAAUUGUCUGAAAGUGUGGCGUCCUCUCGUUCUCUGCGCUUUCACUGGGAGCUACAAUCCUGAGCUGUUAGCGAUCAGCCAUCUUGGAUCAAUCUCUUGAUCCAAACUUUCUAGCUUUUUCAUGGCAAAGAAUAAAUCUGAUUCUGAUUCCUCCUUCAGGGGCCAAAGCAGAAAAACAUGCUGAGGAUUCUAGAAUUAAUUAAUGUGCAAACGAAGUAAUGCCAGUGGUUAGUGUAUUGAAUGUGAAGUUUUUGUGAGAUAACCACUUGAAAAUAAUUACAAGUAAUUGGAUAUUUAACAAUUCAUGAGAGUGAUUUGAGCAGGAUAUAUAUUUGGAGAAUCACUUUCAUAGACCUGAAAAUUUAUGGCAGAGGAGUAGAAAUGAGAACAAUUACAGUCAAGCAAUGGGUGCAUUAUAUAAAUUGCUGGUGUUAAUGAGUAUUGAAAAGUGAAGGAAUAGUGGCUACAUUUGUGAAUUAAAUUCUGCAAGAAGAAUAUGCAUUUGAUGAUGUAGGAGAUAGCAAUUUGGAGGAAAACAUGCCCUUCCCAGUUAUAAAUCAUUCAAAUUAGUAAUUACCUAUUUUCCUUGCUUCAGAUUACAGAAUCCUUAAAUUAAGGAGCUCAUUCUUGGUUUUUAUGACUAUGUUGCUUUAGAUUAGCCAGGCUAGGAAAAAAACAGAUGAAUAAACUGAGAAAAACUAAAAUCACAUUCAAACUAAACAGAACUCCAAUGAUAUAGAUGUGCACAAUCCAUUUAUAGAAAUUUAAAAUACGUUGGGAAGGUAUAAAUUAUCAUUAAGAAUCAACUUUACGAUAUAGGAAAAAUAUAAUAACCAGCAACAGCCAAAUAUCAGUGGGCUAUAACCGUAUACCUGCCUUUCUUUCUUUGACUAUUAACAUAAAUGUAUCACUUACUAGCACUAGAGUUUUUCUUAGAGUCCAGACUCUAUGAUUAGUAUGAAAAUCAAGGCCAAAUUACAACAGGUUGGUCAAAUGAAGAUAAUCAUGUGUUAAAUU